rnacentral:lncRNA from 1 species
UAAGGAAGAAAGGGAAAGUCAGGUUUGAUUGAGUUUGCAGAGUGUGGGCCAUGUGUUGGAGUGAUAAAGUCCAGUAAGGAAGGAAAGAUCAUUUGGGGUCAGGUUGUAAAGAGUUUAAAAAACUCAUCAAAGGAAUUUAUAUUUCAUCUUAUUUGGAAAAGUAAUGGAUAGCAUUUUUCAUCAUAAGCCCUGCAGAAUUGUCUUGGGUCAUUGCAUGGCUGAGAAUAUCUAAGUUAUUCAGAGAUAAUCUUACAACAUUGCUGUUACUGUGAACACUAUUCUCCUGCUUUUCAUUAGUUCAUGGGGAGUAUUAUAGCUGCUCUGUGAGACUGCC